rnacentral:rRNA from 1 species
AUUGAACGCUGGCGGCAGGCCUAACACAUGCAAGUCGAACGAGUGGCGGACGGGUGAGUAAUGUCUGGGAAACUGCCCGAUGGAGGGGGGUAACUACUGGAAACGGUAGCUAAUACCGCAUACCAUCGGAUGUGCCCAGAGGGGAUUAGCUAGUAGGGGGGGUAACGGCUCACCUAGGCGACGAUCCCUAGCUGGGCUGAGAGGAUGACCGGCCACACUGGAACUGAGACACGGCCCAGACUCCUACGGGAGGCAGCAGUGGGGAAUAUUGCGCAAUGGGCGCAAGCCUGAUGCAGCCAUGCCGCGUGUAUGAAGAAGGCCUUCGGGUUGUAAAGCUCUUUUGGCAGGGAGGCGUUACCCACCGAAGAAGCACCGGCUAACUCCGUGCCAGCAGCCGCGGUAAUAC